AUUGAACGCUGGCGGCAUGCCUUACACAUGCAAGUCGAACGGCAGCACGGGUGCUUGCACCUGGUGGCGAGUGGCGAACGGGUGAGUAAUACAUCGGAACGUACCUUAUCGUGGGGGAUAACGCAGCGAAAGCUAUGCUAAUACCGCAUACGCCCUGAGGGGGAAAGCGGGGGAUCGAAAGACCUCGCGCGAUUAGAGCGGCCGAUGCCUGAUUAGCUUGUUGGUGGGGUAAAAGCCCACCAAGGCGACGAUCAGUAGCUGGUCUGAGAGGACGAUCAGCCACACGGGGACUGAGACACGGCCCAGACUCCUACGGGAGGCAGCAGUGGGGAAUUUUGGACAAUGGGGGCAACCCUGGUCCAGCAACGCCGCGUGAAUGAAGAAGGCCUUCGGGUUGUAAAGUUCUUUUGUCGCAGAGCAAGUCGUACAGGUGAAUAACUUGUAUGGGUGAGAGUUUGCGAAGAAUAAGCACCGGCUAACUUCGUGCCAGCAGCCGCCGUAA
rnacentral:rRNA from 1 species